rnacentral:sRNA from 1 species
CUGAUUCUGUUUUGCGUGGUAAUUAGCUUCUAUAUCAUCCUCAUCAUCCUCAUCAUCCUCAUCUUCCUCUUCCUCUUCAUCUUCACUUUCGCCAUCAUCCUUGUCACUUAUAUUUCUAUCUACCGACUUGCUUUUCUGUCGUUACCCACCAUCCCCACCCUGUUCCUAUUUAUGUUUCGCUCGGCAAUUCUCUUCUUUUGCUGCGUUUACUUUCCUCUCUGCUAGUCUCUUCUUUUGUUCAAGUUUUUCGUAGUUUGUGCUUCUUUUAGUCGCUAAUGAGUAUAUCUCAAUGGCUUUGUGGAGCGGAUGUCUCUAUGCAUGAUGCUCCUAAUG